GACGAACGCUGGCGGCGUGCUUAACACAUGCAAGUCGAACGGAAAGGCCCUGCUUUUGUGGGGUGCUCGAGUGGCGAACGGGUGAGUAACACGUGAGUAACCUGCCCUUCACUUUGGGAUAACUUCAGGAAACUGGGGCUAAUACCGGAUAGGAGCUCCUGCUGCAUGGUGGGGGUUGGAAAGUUUCGGCGGUUGGGGAUGGACUCGCGGCUUAUGAGCUUGUUGGUGGGGUAGUGGCUUACCAAGGCUUUGACGGGUAGCCGGCCUGAGAGGGUGACCGGCCACAUUGGGACUGAGAUACGGCCCAGACUCCAACGGGAGGCAGCAGGGGGGAAUAUUGCACAAUGGGCGGAAGCCUGAUGCAGCAACGCCGCGUGCGGGAUGACGGCCUUCGGGUUGUAAACCGCUUUCGCCUGUGACGAAGCGUGAGUGACGGUAAUGGGUAAAGAAGCACCGGCUAACUACGUG
rnacentral:rRNA from 1 species